rnacentral:rRNA from 1 species
AGCAGCCGCGGUAAUUCCAGCUCCAAUAGCGUAUAUUAAAGUUGUUGCAGUUAAAAAGCUCGUAGUUGGAUUUCGGGGUCAGUAGUUUGGUCGUGCCAACGGUAUGUACUGGGCUCACUGAUUCCUCCUUCCUGAUGAACUGUAAUGCCAUUAAUUUGGUGUUGCAGGGAAACUGGACUGUUACUUUGAAAAAAUUAGAGUGUUUAAAGCAAGCUAACGCUUGAAUACAUUAGCAUGGAAUAAUGAAAUAGGACGUUCGAUCCUAUUUUGUUGGUUUCUAGGAUCGACGUAAUGAUUAAUAGGGAUAGUUGGGGGCAUUAGUAUUCAAUUGUCAGAGGUGAAAUUCUUGGAUUUAUUGAAGACUAACUACUGCGAAAGCAUUUGCCAAGGAUGUUUUCAUUAAUCAAGAACGAAAGUUAGGGGAUCGAAGACGAUCAGAUACCGUCGUAGUCUUAACCAUAAACUAUGCCGACUAGGGAUCGGAUGAUGUAAUUUUUAAUGACUCAUUCGGCGCCUUAAC